rnacentral:rRNA from 1 species
GACAGCCAUGCACCACCUGUAUACCGACCACAAGGGGGGCACCAUCUCUGAUGCUUUCCGGUAUAUGUCAAGCCUUGGUAAGGUUCUUCGCGUUGCGUCGAAUUAAGCCACAUGCUCCGCUGCUUGUGCGGGCCCCCGUCAAUUCCUUUGAGUUUUAGCCUUGCGGCCGUACUCCCCAGGCGGGGAACUUAAUGCGUUAGCUGCGGCACCGACGACGUGGAAUGUCGCCAACACCUAGUUCCCAACGUUUACGGCGUGGACUACCAGGGUAUCUAAUCCUGUUCGCUCCCCACGCUUUCGCUCCUCAGCGUCAGUAAUGGCCCAGAGAUCCGCCUUCGCCACCGGUGUUCCUCCUGAUAUCUGCGCAUUUCACCGCUACACCAGGAAUUCCGAUCUCCCCUACCACACUCUAGCUAGCCCGUAUCGAAUGCAGACCCGGGGUUAAGCCCCGGGCUUUCACAUCCGACGUGACAAGCCGCCUACGAGCUCUUUACGCCCAAUAAUUCCGGACAACGCUUGCGCCCUACGUAUUACCGCGGCUGCUGGCACGUAGUUAGCCGGCGCUUCUUCUGCAGGUACCGUCACUUUCGCUUCUUCCCUGCUGAAAGAGGUUUACAACCCGAAGGCCGUCAUCCCUCACGCGGCGUCGCUGCAUC